UGGGGAAUUUUGGACAAUGGGCGAAAGCCUGAUCCAGCAAUGCCGCGUGUGUGAAGAAGGCCUUCGGGUUGUAAAGCACUUUUGUCCGGAAAGAAAUCCUUGGCUCUAAUACAGUCGGGGGAUGACGGUACCGGAAGAAUAAGCACCGGCUAACUACGUGCCAGCAGCCGCGGUAAUACGUAGGGUGCAAGCGUUAAUCGGAAUUACUGGGCGUAAAGCGUGCGCAGGCGGUUUGCUAAGACCGAUGUGAAAUCCCCGGGCUCAACCUGGGAACUGCAUUGGUGACUGGCAGGCUAGAGUAUGACAGAGGGGGGUAGAAUUCCACGUGUAGCAGUGAAAUGCGUAGAGAUGUGGAGGAAUACCGAUGGCGAAGGCAGCCCCCUGGGCCAAUACUGACGCUCAUGCACGAAAGCGUGGGGGAGCAAACAGGAUUAGAUACCCCGGUAGUCCACGCCCUAAACGAUGUCAACUAGUUGUUGGGGAUUCAUUUCCUUAGUAACGUAGCUAACGCGUGAAGUUGACCGCCUGGGGAGUACGGUCG
rnacentral:rRNA from 1 species